rnacentral:rRNA from 1 species
AGUGAACGCUGGCGGUAGGCCUAACACAUGCAAGUCGAACGGCAGCACAGUAAGAGCUUGCUCUUACGGGUGGCGAGUGGCGGACGGGUGAGGAAUACAUCGGAAUCUACUUUUUCGUGGGGGAUAACGUAGGGAAACUUACGCUAAUACCGCAUACGACCUACGGGUGAAAGCAGGGGAUCUUCGGACCUUGCGCGAUUGAAUGAGCCGAUGUCGGAUUAGCUAGUUGGCGGGGUAAAGGCCCACCAAGGCGACGAUCCGUAGCUGGUCUGAGAGGAUGAUCGGCCCCACUGGAACUGAGACACGGGGCCGACUCCUACGGGGGGCAGCAGUGGGGAAUAUUUCGCAAAGGGGGCAAGCCUGACGCCGCAACACCGCGUGAGGGAUGAAGGUCUUUGGAGCGUAAAACUCUGUUUUGAGGGAAGAAAAUAUGUGUAAGUAAAUGCCCCCAUGUUGACGGUACCCCAAAAGAAAGGCACGGCUAACUCCGUG